rnacentral:tRNA from 1 species
GUCACUAUGUCCGAGCGGUUAAGGAGUUAGACUUGAAAUCUAAUGGGCUAUGCCCGCGCAGGUUCAAGUCCUGCUGGUGACG